ACAACCAACAUUUGGGCACCCGUUGGGAAUGUGCCUAGUGUACAAGAAAAACAAAAUUCUGCUUUUGAGUUGUCUUUAAGUAAUCUUGAUUUGGGUGAAGCAAAACCCGAACCAGUGCUGCAGAGUGUGAUGAAGAGAAGUCAUCCUGCUUGAAUUUUUCUUCAAAAAGUCCUCAUGUACAUAAUGGAAUUGGAUAGCAAGUCAAAAUCUCAAUCUCAAAAUCCAAAGUCUCGUAGAUCUCGAGAUGUUGAUGUCCAUCUUCUCAUUCAGGUCCCUUGUCUUAUACAAAUGUUAAGAAGUCAAAAGUUUCAAUGCAAAAAGAGGUCAAAAUCUGAUCUUCAAAAUUAAAGGCCAAAAGGGGAUGAGCAGGAACCUAAACAUAAGGAAAGUAACAAAAAGGACUUUAAAAUAGGCGAUGAGAUGCGAGUUGUGUGCUCAAUAUUGUCUUUUGUGGAUGAUCAAUAACUUCCUAGCGGUAAUUCUGUUCAUGAGAGAGCCCAUGUUCAGUUAAUUGAGCUUCUUGUUCUUGGAGAAUCUUCCUAUAUACAUUAAGAAAGAAAGUUCGACGUAUUGUAUACAAAUUACGAUGUCAAAAUCAUCUUACAGAUACAUGCCAAUUUGGUGAAUGAUGUCUCUGUCUUCCUUCACAGUGACUAUACUUCUUGUAGCAAAAGUAGGGGGUGUGUAAGACUACACAGUUAAAUUAAUAAGGAUACAUGAAGCUAUAAUAUUAGUGUUGUGGCAUAUAUUAAUUUUGAGUAACUUGGUUAUACCAUCUUUCUUGAGAAUCUUUCUUGGAGGGAUGGUAUAACCAAGAUUCUACUACGGAAUUUUGUUUAGUAUCGAGUUAGCUCAGCUUAUGUUUAGAGCUUGUACUACUGUAUUUUUAAUUGGGACUGAUAUAAACUUCAGGUCUUCUAAGCAUCUUAUGUUUAGAGCUAUGUAUUACUGUAUUUUGUUUCCAGCUUGUAAUACAACUUGAUUUACAAUAUUCUCA